AUUGAACGCUGGCGGCAGGCCUAACACAUGCAAGUCGAACGAGUGGCGGACGGGUGAGUAAUGUCUGGGAAACUGCCUGAUGGAGGGGGAUAACUACUGGAAACGGUAGCUAAUACCGCAUACCAUCAGAUGUGCCCAGGUGGGAUUAGCUAGUUGGUGGGGUAACGGCUCACCAAGGCGACGAUCCCUAGCUGGUCUGAGAGGAUGACCAGCGACAUUGGAACUGAGACACGGUCCAGACUCCUACGGGAGGCAGAAGUGGGGAAUAUUGCACAAUGGGCGCAAGGCGGAGGCAGCCAUGGCGCGUGUAGGAAGAGGGCCUUCGGUUUGUAAAGGACUGUCAGCGGGGAGGCGUUACCCGCAGAAUAAGCACCGGCUAACUCCGUGCCAGCAGCCGCGGUAAUUC
rnacentral:rRNA from 1 species